GGAUAUGAGGGCAACCUGGCUGAGGCUCCUAUCACCCCAUAGGUCACCAGGGUUGAUUCAAAUAAUAUGGCUGGCUGGUGGGAUCCCCUUUGCUUUCUACUCCAUGAAGUUGCACAUUUGCUCAAGGGAAACACCAGAUAUAGAAAAACCUUCAUAUGGACAAGAGGAAUAUAAAUCCAAACAAACUCAGAUGCAUUUGUGGCUUGUAUUAAUUAGGGCAAGCAUAUUUACAAGGCCUCUUAGU
rnacentral:snRNA from 1 species